GCUGUUCUCGGAGGAGGAGCUCGGGACCUCCCUGUCACUGGUAAUGGCUGCUGUUUUCUUCAGGGGAGCUCUGACCUUUACUGUGAGCAUCACGUCCUGACUCCAAUAUGGAUCCCUCAGCUUGGUGGCAGAAAUCCUUCAUCUCACCAGCACGGAUUUUCUGGCUUCCACCAUUGGCCUUUGAGCCCUCCAGAACUUCUCUGGGGCUGGGAGAAUCAAUGGCAGUUGGAACCAGCAAGAAAAUCAAGGGAUACUGCUUCCAGAGUGACCUUCCACAGUCAACAGUUGGUUAGUGUUAGAGAAGAUGAUGAGGAAGAGCCUGAUGAGGACGAUUAUGACAUUGUCUUUACAAAAGAUGAGGAAGAGAUGAGUGAGGAAGAUGAGCAGGAAAUUGAUGCAGUUGAGCGCCUGAGAAGUGAAGUGGGAGAAAUAUUUGAAACAGAUCUGAAUAAUUUACAAAUGAUACAUGUUAUGACUUUUCCUUCAUUUUUCAUAAUUCAAAAUGUAACAUUUGAGCAUGAAACCAAGGCAAACUGGCUAAUGCCUUAUUUCAAGAUUACAUUUCAAAAGAAGCACAUAUUUUAGGCCUCUGUUUCCUUUGUCAGUACCACUUAAUAAUGAAAACCAUUCCAUAAAUCAAGAGCAACUGUGAGCCCUCACAGGGUCAGAGGAGGGUUAGCUGCCAGCACUUAGCCACUUGGAGGCUGGAAAAGACCUGUUUGUUACACUGAAGUGGUCACCAGAAGUGUCUAUGUGUUGUGCAUGAAUGACUUUUUUCCCACCAGAUAUAUUAGGUUCUAUGAUUUUUCUCAUUAGUAAGAAUUUGAGAAGUUUUUGAUACCAAUAAUUUCUGUACAUUUAGCUCAGAAAAUCCACAUGGUACAAUAUACAUUGAAUAUGAAACUGGUGGGUGCGUGAGUUUGUUUGAGACAUGUGAUGCAGUAUCAGCACACCUUGCCCAGAAAAUGCUUG
rnacentral:lncRNA from 1 species